rnacentral:tRNA from 1 species
UCGUAGCUCAGCUGGUAGAGCUUGUGCUGCACAAAGGCUUAGGGACUCCCAUGCGUGGGUUUGAAUCCCACCGA